rnacentral:rRNA from 1 species
CCUACGGGUGGCAGCAGUGGGGAAUAUUGGACAAUGGGGGAAACUCUGAUGCAGCGACGCCGCGUGAGUGAAGAAGGAAUUCGUUAUGUAAAGCUGUAUCAGCAGGGAAGAAAAUGACGGUACCUGAGUAUGAAGCCCCGGCUAACUCCGUGCCAGAUGCCGCGGUAAUACGGAGGGAGCAAGCGUUAUCCGGAUUUACUGGGUGUAAAGGGAGCGUAGACGGAGGUGCAAGUCUGGAGUGAAAGGCGGGGGCUCAACCCCCGAAUUGCUCUGGAAACUGUACGGCUGGAGAGCAGGAGCGGUAAGCGGAAUUCCUAGUGUAGCGGUGAAAUGCGUAGAUAUUAGGAGGAACACCAGUGGCGAAGGCGGCUUACUGGACUGUAACUGACGUUGAGGCUCGAAAGCCUGGGGAGCAAACAGGAUUAGAUACCCGAGUAGUC